GAUGAACGCUGGCGGCGUGCCUAAUACAUGCAAGUCGAGCGAACAGACGAGGAGCUUGCUCCUCUGACGUUAGCGGCGGACGGGUGAGUAACACGUGGAUAACCUACCUAUAAGACUGGGAUAACUUCGGGAAACCGGAGCUAAUACCGGAUAAUAUAUUGAACCGCAUGGUUCAAUAGUGAAAGACGGUUUUGCUGUCACUUAUAGAUGGAUCCGCGCCGCAUUAGCUAGUUGGUAAGGUAACGGCUUACCAAGGCAACGAUGCCUGGCCCACCUGAGAGGGUGAGCGCCCACCCUGGAACUGAGACCCGGUCCAGACUCCCACGGGAGGCCGCCGUAGGGAAUCUUCCGAAAUGGGCGAAAGCCUGCCGGAGCAACGCCGCGUGAGGGAUGAAGUUUUUCGGAUCGUAAAACUCUUUUAUUAGGGAAAAACAAAUUUUAAAGUAACUAUCCCCUUUUUGGCGGUACCUAAUCAAAAAGCCACGGCUAACUACGU
rnacentral:rRNA from 1 species